rnacentral:rRNA from 1 species
GAACCGAGCGAACGUUGUUCGGAAUCACUGGGCUUAAAGGGCGCGUAGGCGGGCCGCCGCGUCCGGGGUGAAAUCCUCCCGCUCAACGGGAGAACGGCCUCGGAUACGGGCGGUCUGGAGGGGGGUAGGGGCGUGCGGAACUGUGGGUGGAGCGGUGAAAUGCGUUGAUAUCCACAGGAACUCCGGUGGCGAAGGCGGCACGCUGGACCCCACCUGACGCUGAGGCGCGAAAGCCAGGGGAGCGAACGGGAUUAGAUACCCCGGUAGUCCUGGCCCUAAACGAUGGGUACUAGGUAGUAGACUUGACAUGGGUUUACUGCCGGAGCCAAAGUGCUAAGUACCCCGCCUGGGGAGUAUGGUCGCAAGGCUGAA